UAGCUUAUACCCUGUGUUUCCUGAGCACAGCUUGCAGUAGGGGCUAUCCUCGCGGUGCUGUGUAUACCAUACCGCAGUACUGCAGCUCCACCAACACCAUGGGCCAAAUGUAAUAGAGUGAGAGUUUCAGAAAGUGAGAGAUUUGGUCAUGUUUACGAUUGAAGAGUUAGAUGGAACAUCUGCUGUAUCAUAAAACAUUAUGGAGAUGAAAACAUUCCUGCCCAGUGGAAUAUUCCAGGGAUCCGUGACCUUUAACCUUCAGGGAACCUGGGAUAAGUAUUGAAAAUCAUCAGGAUCUGACAGCUCUUUGCUGAAUUGUUCCACAUUAAUUGUGUCAUGUGUCUUUAGCUAUGUCAUGAUUUUUACGUUUUAAUUUCUGCAUUCAUUUUGACCCUUUUUAAUCCAAUGUUACUCAUCAUCCUACAGGUAUAUAUAUAUAUAUAUAUAUAAAAAAAAAGCUGUAUAAAUAUAAGGAGUGUGUGAGCUUAACCCCAAUUGGGUAAAGUUGGUUUUAUAGGUGAGGGCCAUUUUUAAGUAGAGCUGCAUGCUGAAAGAAUA